AUUGAACGCUGGCGGCAGGCUUAACACAUGCAAGUCGAGCGGAGAUGAGGUGCUUGCACCUUAUCUUAGCGGCGGACGGGUGAGUAAUGCUUAGGAAUCUGCCUAUUAGUGGGGGACAACAUUCCGAAAGGAAUGCUAAUACCGCAUACGUCCUACGGGAGAAAGCAGGGGAUCUUCGGACCUUGCGCUAAUAGAUGAGCCUAAGUCGGAUUAGCUAGUUGGUGGGGUAAAGGCCUACCAAGGCGACGAUCUGUAGCGGGUCUGAGAGGAUGGUCCGCGACACUGGGACUGAGACACGGCCCAGACUCCUACGGGAGGCAGCAGUGGGGAAUAUUGGACAAUGGGGGGAACCCUGAUCCAGCCAUGCCGCGUGUGUGAAGAAGGCCUUAUGGUUGUAAAGCACUUUAAGCGAGGAGGAGGCUACUGAGACUAAUACUCUUGGAUAGUGGACGUUACUCGCAGAAUAAGCACCGGCUAACUCUGUGCCAGCCGCCGCGGUAAAAC
rnacentral:rRNA from 1 species